CGUCCCACUCAGUUCGGUGUUGGUUUCAGCUAUACCGACCAAGUCACUGAGUGCUAGUGCUGGGUUUGAGCCCACGUCCUCUCUACUGCAACAAUGGCCCUCCGAAUUGAAGUGAAAUACGGUAACUCCUGAGGUUAUGAGACACGGUUCCAAAGUCUGAAAAAGGACUUGGAGGAAGAAUUUCCAGAUCAACUGGAAAUCACUGGAACUAAAGUCUCAGGCAAAACAGAUGAUUUUGAAGUUUACUUGCAGGACUCCAAAAUGCUUCUGCAUUCUAAACUGACAGGAGAUGGCUUUGUUGACAACAG